UUACACAUGCAAGUCGAGGGGCAGCGCGGGAGUAGCAAUACUUCUGGCGGCGACCGGCGCAAGGGUGCGUAACGCGUGAGCGACAUGCCCGUGACCGGGGGAUAACCGAUGGAAACGUCGCCUAACCCCCCAUACGACGAGGGAUCGCAUGAUCCCUUGUUGAAAACCCUGGUGGUCACGGAUUGGCUCGCGUCCCAUUAGCUAGUCGGCGGGGUAACGGCCCACCGAGGCGACGAUGGGUAGGGGUUCUGAGAGGAAGGUCCCCCACAAUGGAACUGAGACACGGUCCAUACUCCUACGGGAGGCAGCAGUGAGGAAUAUUGGUCAAUGGGCGGAAGCCUGAACCAGCCAUUGCGCGUGCGGGACGACGGCCCUACGGGUUGUAAACCGCUUUUGUGUGUGAGCAAUAAGGCGGCUUAGCGCCGCUGAUGA
rnacentral:rRNA from 1 species